rnacentral:tRNA from 1 species
GCUUCAGUAACUCAGGGGGAGAGUGUUUGCCUUACAAGCAAAUGGUCGUUGGUUCGAAACCAACCUGAAGCACCA